rnacentral:snRNA from 1 species
GGAUGUGAGGGCUAUCUGGCUGUGACAUCUCUCACCACAUUGAUUGCCAGGGUUGAUUCGGCUGAUCUGGCUGGUUAGGCGGGUGUCCCCUUUCUCACUCACUGCUCCAUGUGUGUCCCUCCUAAAGCUGUGCACUUAGUAGAGGAGGAUGGCCUUCCCUGAACAGAGACAGACCGGUUGAGGAUAUACGUGUAGCUACACUCCCCUGCUAGAACCUCCAAAUAAGCUCUCAUAAAUAAAGAUAAUAAUAAAUUUUAAAAGAAUUUUAAAAAGAGAGAGGGAGAGAUAAAGAUAGACACCUUCAGAUCU